CGUAGGUGACCUGCGGAGGAUCAUUAUGAAUUAAUA
rnacentral:rRNA from 1 species